GGGGGUGGUUGGGUCCCGGUGGACUCCCCGGUCUUCAAAACCGGUGGCGGGCCGCACAGCGGGCCGCGGUGGGUUCGACUCCCAUCCACUCCCG
rnacentral:tRNA from 1 species